GACGAACGCUGGCGGCGUGCUUAACACAUGCAAGUCGAACGGAAAGACCCUGCUUUUGUGGGGUGCUCGAGUGGCGAACGGGUGAGUAACACGUGAGUAACCUGCCCAUGACGUUGGGAUAACUUCAGGAAACUGGGGCUAAUACCGGAUAGGAGCUCCUGCUGCAUGGUGGGGGUUGGAAAGUUUCGGCGGUUGGGGAUGGACUCGCGGCUUAUCAGCUUGUUGGUGGGGUAGUGGCUUACCAAGGCUUUGGCGGGUAGCCGGCCUGAGAGGGUGACCGGCCACAUUGGGACUGAGAUACGGCCCAGACUCCUACGUGAGGCAGCAGUGGGGAAUAUUGCACAAUGGGCGGAAGCCUGAUGCAGCAACGCCGCGUGCGGGAUGACGGCCUUCGGGUUAUAAACCGCUUUCGCCUGUGACGAAGCGUGAGUGACGGUAAUGGGUAAAGAAGCACCGGCUAACUACGUG
rnacentral:rRNA from 1 species